AUUGAACGCUGGCGGCAGGCCUAACACAUGCAAGUCGAACGAGUGGCGGACGGGUGAGUAAUGUCCGGGAAACUGCCUGAUGGAGAGGGAUAACUACUGGACACGGUAGCUAAUACCGCCUACCAUCGGAUGUGCCCAGAUGGGUUAAGCUAGUAGGUGGGGUAACUGCUAGCCUGGGCGACGCUCCCUCGCUGGUCAGAGAGGAUGACCAGCCACACUGGAACUAGUACACGGUCCAUACUCCUACGUGCGGCAGCAGUGGUGAAGAUUGCACAAGGGGCGCAAGCCUGAUGCAGCCAUGCCGCGUGUAUGAAGAAGGCCUUCGGGUUGUAAAGUACUGUCAGCCGGGAGGCGUUACCCGCAGAAGAAGCACCGGCUAACUCCGUGCCAGCCGCCGCGGUAAUAC
rnacentral:rRNA from 1 species